AAUCCAUAGGUUAAUGAGGCGAACCGGGGGAACUGAAACAUCUAAGUACCCCGAGGAAAAGAAAUCAACCGAGAUUCCCCCAGUAGCGGCGAGCGAACGGGGAGGAGCCCAGAGCCUGAAUCAGCAUGUGUGUUAGUGGAAGCGUCUGGAAAGGCGCGCGAUACAGGGUGACAGCCCCGUACACAAAAGCGCAUGUGCUGUGAGCUCGAUGAGUAGGGCGGGACACGUGGUAUCCUGUCUGAAUAUGGGGGGACCAUCCUCCAAGGCUAAAUACUCCUGACUGACCGAUAGUGAACCAGUACCGUGAGGGAAAGGCGAAAAGAACCCCGGCGAGGGGAGUGAAAAAGAACCUGAAACCGUGUACGUACAAGCAGUGGGAGCACAGG
rnacentral:rRNA from 1 species